rnacentral:rRNA from 1 species
AACGAACGCUGGCGGCAGGCUUAACACAUGCAAGUCGAACGGGUGUAGCAAUACAUCAGUGGCAGACGGGUGAGUAACACGUGGGAACCUUCCUAGAGGUACGGAACAACUCAGGGAAACUUGAGCUAAUACCGUAUACGCUCGUGAGAGGAAAGAUUUAUCGCCUUUAGACGGGCCCGCGUAGGAUUAGCUAGUUGGUGGGGUAACGGCCUACCAAGGCGACGAUCCUUAGCUGAUCUGAGAGGAUGAU